GUCCUAGCCGUAAACGGUGCACGUUUGCUGUAAAGGAAUCGACCCCUUUGUGGCGUAGCCAACGCGUUAAACGUGCCGCCUGGGAAGUACGGUCGCAAGAUUAAAACUCAAAGAAAUUGACGGGGGCCUGCACAAGCGGUGGAGUAUGUGGCUCAAUUCGAUGCAACGCGAAGAACCUUACCUGGCCUUGACAUGUAUGUAGUAGAAGGGUGAAAGCCUGACGAGGUAGCAAUACCAGCAUACACAGGUGCUGCAUGGCUGUCGU
rnacentral:rRNA from 1 species